GGACCCAGCCCAGAGGGAUGGGGGCGCCCAGGAGCAGCAGGCCCCUCGGGGUGGCCAGGGUGGGCAGAAAUGGAAGGAUGUGUCGAAUCAGCUCUCGCCCCGGGUGAGAGGUACAUCACCCAGCCAGCCUCCCAGAGCCCACCCAGAGCCUCCCCUGCAGAGAUCUCUUUGGAUGAAAGAUGCAUGCUGACUGUAGGUGCUAAUGCAUCUGAGAGGACUGAAAGAUAUGCUUCAUCACUGCUACCUAGUGUUUCUGCAAGGGCAUUGACACUCAAGAUUUUUAAAGGCAUAGUAUAUUUUUGCAACUAAAAGUGUAUUAUCUCUUGGCCCUUGUCCCUGUGCUGAAUGAAAUUCGGAUGAGGAUGGGAUCUGACCUGUGGAUCAGAAGUUUGUCAAAGCCUUGCUCUAAGAACACUCCUUUUUAAGACUAUUACUAUAUCUUGGUAUAUACGUGCCCAUGUGAUGGUAAUCCUUAUACUUCCUUCACAUGGAGGGUGUGAAGAAUUUACAGUUGGGUCUUUGCAAAGCAGGCUUGUGACACUUGCCACCCAGGGUGUCAGUAAAGGCGAGUUACCCUUCCUGGAAGAACUUUGAAUGAGAUGCAAAGAGACCCUGGGAACUUGACCAGUCAAACUUAGAAGUAUGAAGAGAAUGUAGUGGGAGGAAGUGGAGGCCGUGAGUCAGCAUGAGUCAUUCUGUUCCAAUGAGAAUGAAGGCUGACUGAGAGGCAUCCUGUUCUCAAGGAGGUGGAGCAACCAACUUCUCCUUGGUGAGGAAACCAAGGCCGAGAGGGAAGCAGUAUCCAUUGUAACAUCAAACAACUUUCUAAAAAGGAUUCUUCCAGAAAUGGCUUCCUAGCAUCCUUCACAAGGAGAGAGACACCAUCUGCCCUGUAGCAUCCUCCACAUGGAGGUGCUUUGUGAGUCAUUUGAAACAACAAAAAGCCCAUAAUUGUCUGUAUCCAGUGCCAGAGGUCAAGCCAAUUCAACUAGCAUUUAUUAAGCACCUACUAUGUGCCAGCCACUGUGCUAAGUGCCUGGGAUGCAAGAAAGACAAAAACAAUCCCUGCUCUCAAGGAACUGAAAAUCUCAUGGGGAAGACGGCUUGCCAGACCAUGUUUCUGAACUUUAAAGAAUAAAUUAAAAGUAGAUGCCAAAUGGGGUAGUGAUAUCCCACAAUCCUCCCCUGUCUGUGGAAGAGCCUCAGAUCAGGAGAAUAGCAUCACAUGGGGAAAAGUUUGGGAAGCCUUGAUGCAAAGAGCUGGACCCAUGAGACAUGGCCAGUCACCAGGACUCCAAGAAGGCCUGCCUUGGCUAGCAGCCAGGAAGAAACAGAGACUCAUCAUCUACUCUGCUACUUCAAGUACUUGCUGCCUACCCCUCUUACUCAAGGAAUGAUGUUUGAGUAAUAUUAUCAUUGCGAUUGUGAAGGGCAUGACCAUACCCAUGAUUCUGAGAUGAGGAACUGAGGCAUACAAGAAUUACUUUGACGAGUGAAAUGGACAUCUUUGAAUGAUCCAGGAGCCCAGUUCAUUGAAGUUCCCUUAACCCUAGCUCCCCCUGGCCCCGAGAAUGAACCCUCUGGGGAGACUCCAGGAAGACAGCCUGAUGGGAGGCACAUUCAGUGACCCCCGACAGAAGCCAGUAAAACCGGUUUUCCAGGCCAUCUUCUGACUGGCGAUGCAUUAACCAUAGCAGGAGCAGAAGUCUCAUUCUGAUGAGUGUUCAGAAGUUCAUGGGUAUGACCUUGGUUGGCCUCAUUACAUGGAGAAAGGCAGUUAGAACAUUCCACAAUCAAGCUUGUCAGAAACCCUGCUUAAUCCUAAACAUUUCUAACAUAUAGAAGAAUUACAGGAACACUGGAUCCUCUAAGGGGCAAAAGCGAAUACAAUAGCUGUUGGCACUGCUGAAACUUGACAAUCCAAAAAGAA